rnacentral:rRNA from 1 species
UAAACAUUGAUAGAACUUUACACACACUAUUCGCCAGGGGACUACGAGCAUCAGCUUAAAACCCAAAGGACUUGGCGGUGCUUAAGACCCACCUAGAGGAGCCUGUUCUAGAACCGAUAAUCCCCGUUCAACCUCACCCUCCCUUGUUCAUUCCGCCUAUAUACCGCCGUCGUCAGCUUACCCUAUGAAGGUUAAAUAGUAAGCAAAAUCGGCACAACCCAAAACGCCAGGUCGAGGUGUAGCGCAUGAGAGGGGAAGAAAUGGGCUACAUUCCCUAAACUAGGGCAUACGGAAGACAAGUUGAAAUUACUUAUCUGAAGGAGGAUUUAGCAGUAAGUGGAAGGCAGAGAACUCCACUGAAACCGGCCCUAAAGCGCGCACACACCGUCCGUCACUCUCCCCAAACAUACGAAAACCCAAACUAACUAAAACCUUAGUAGCAAAAAGGGGAGGCAAGUCGUAACAUGGUAAGUGUACCGGAAGGUGCACUUGGAUAAAAU